rnacentral:rRNA from 1 species
GCGAACGCUGGCGGCAGGCUUAACACCUGCAAGUCGAGCGGGCAUCCUUGUGGUGUCAGCGGCAGACGGGUGAGUAACGCGUGGGAACGUGCCCUUCGGUUCGGAAUAACUCAGGGAAACUUGAGCUAAUACCGGAUACGUGCGAGAGCAGAAAGGUUUAUCUGCCGAAGGAUCGGCCCGCGUCUGAUUAGCUAGUUGGUGAGGUUACGGCUCACCAAGGCGACGAUCAGUAGCUGGUCUGAGAGGAUGAUCAGCCACACUGGGACUGAGACACGGCCCAGACUCCUACGGGAGGCAGCAGUGGGGAAUAUUGGACAAUGGGGGCAACCCUGAUCCAGCCAUGCCGCGUGAGUGAUGACGGCCUUAGGGUUGUAAAGCUCUUUUCUCCGGGACGAUAAUGACGGUACCGGAGGAAUAAGCCCCGGCUAACUUCGUG